GUGGUUUUUCAUAAGGAGCACGUUAUUUUAUCUACUACUAGAAGGGUUGCAACUAAAUCAAAAUACUCAGAAGAUUCCCUCAUUUUAUAUUAUUGUUGCAACAAUACUUGGGAUGCAUGAAAAGUUAAAAAUGUUUUUCCAACUUUUCUUCUUCAAUUAUAAUUUUGCCACAAAAUUCUAAUUAUGCUAUAAUUUGGUGCAUGACAGAGUUAUAUACAGCAACACUUU
rnacentral:lncRNA from 1 species